rnacentral:rRNA from 1 species
AUUGAACGCUGGCGGCAGGCUUAACACAUGCAAGUCGAGCGGGGUGAUGGUGCUUGCACUAUCACUUAGCGGCGGACGGGUGAGUAAUGCUUAGGAAUCUGCCUAUUAGUGGGGGAUAACAUCUCGAAAGGGAUGCUAAUACCGCAUACGUCCUACGGGAGAAAGCAGGGGAUCACUUGUGACCUUGCGCUAAUAGAUGAGCCUAAGUCGGAUUAGCUAGUUGGUGGGGUAAAGGCCUACCAAGGCGACGAUGCGUUGCCGACCUGAGAGGGUGAUCCGCCACACUGGGACUGAGACACGGCCCAGACUCCUACGGGAGGCAGCAGUGGGGAAUAUUGGACAAUGGGGGGAACCCUGAUCCAGCCAUGCCGCGUGUGUGAAGAAGGCCUUAUGGUUGUAAAGCACUUUAAGCGAGGAGGAGGCUCUUUUGGUUAAUACCCAAGAUGAGUGGACGUUACUCGCAGAAUAAGCACCGGCUAACUCUGUGCCAGCAGCCGCCGUAA